UACGUAGGGGGCAAGCGUUGUCCGGAAUUAUUGGGCGUAAAGCGCGCGCAGGCGGCCAAUUAAGUCUAGUGUUUAAGCCCGGGGCUCAACCCCGGUUCGCACCGGAAACUGGUUGGCUUGAGUGCAGGAGAGGGAAGCGGAAUUCCAUGUGUAGCGGUGAAAUGCGUAGAGAUAUGGAGGAACACCAGUGGCGAAGGCGGCUUCCUGGCCUGUAACUGACGCUGAGGCGCGAAAGCGUGGGGAGCAAACA
rnacentral:rRNA from 1 species